UAACAUAAUACAUAUCCCUAUAUGUUUGCUUGAAGACUACGAGCAGUAGCUUAAAACUCAAAGGAUUUGGCGGCGCUUUAAAUUUCCUAGAGGAGCUUGUCCUAUAAUCGAUAAUCCCCGCUAAACCUUACCUUUUCUAGCCUUCAGCCUAUAUACCGCCGUCGUCAGCCCACCCUUUGAAGGCCUAAUAGUAGGCGGAACCGGCUCAGCCCCAAACGUCAGGUCAAGGUAUAGCACACGAAAAGAGAAGUGAUGAGCUACAUUUCCUAAGCAGGGUUACGGAAAAUCUUUUGAAAAACAGAUUUAAAGUAGAAUUUAGCAGUAAGUAAAAAAUAGAGUGUUUUACUGAAGUUAAAAUUAAUGCGUGCACACACCGCCCGUCGCUCUCCCCUAGCCUUAACUCAAAUAUAUAUAUAUAUAAACUUCUGUAACUCUCAGAGGGGAGAAAAGUCGUAACAUGGUAAGUGUACUGGAAAGUGCACUUGGUUAAAACAGAACAUAGCUAAAACA
rnacentral:rRNA from 1 species